UGCCCCUCCCCCUCAUUUGCCUUGCUAAAUAUCCAGAAAAAAGAAAAGAGAGGGAGGGAGGGAGAGGAGGGGUGAGGGAGAGGCAAAGCGGCGAAGCCCUGUCGGAUUUUCAAGCCGGCGACUUUAGGUAUGGCCGGGGUUACUCCUGCGUUGCUGGACCCAACAAUAGACUCGGGUCACCGGUCCUUCCUUGCGAAGGUUCAGCACCAAAAACUAAAUGUGCUGCGUCCACAUCCACCUGCAGAGUUGGUUGCUGUAGACCCACGAUGGGUGCCCAGGCUGAGCGAGGCAGGUCUUCUCACAGUGGCUCGUCUUGCUGAGAGUGCUUUGGUGAAGC